CCUACGGGAGGCUGCAGUGAGGAAUAUUGGUCAAUGGCCGGAAGGCUGAACCAGCCAUGCCGCGUGAAGGUCAGUGCCCUAUGGGCGUUAAACUUCUUUUGUGCGGGAGCAAUAAUGGUCACGUGUGGCCAGACGGGAGUACCGUACGAAUAAGCAUCGGCUAACUCCGUGACAGCAGCCGCGGUAAUACGGGGGAUGCAAGCGUUAUCCGGAGUUAUUGGGGUUAAAGGGUGCGUAGGCUGUGAGGUAAGUCAGCGGUGAAAUGCCCCCGCUCAACGGGGUGAAGUGCCAUUGAUACUGCCUUGCUGGAAUGCGGAUGCCGUGGGAGGAAUGUGUGGUGUAGCGGUGAAAUGCAUAGAUAUCACACAGAACACCGAUUGCGAAGGCAUCUCACGAAUCCGCGAUUGACGCUGAUGCACGAAAGUGUGGGUAUCAAACAGGAUUAGAUACCCUAGUAGUC
rnacentral:rRNA from 1 species